GUCUAUGGCCAUAUCACCCUGAACGUGCCUGAUUUCAUCUGAUCCUAGAAGAUAAGCAGGGUCGAGCCUGGUUAGUCCUUGAAUGGGAGAAAUCAAUACUGAGGAAACAUUACCAUUUACA
rnacentral:rRNA from 1 species